rnacentral:tRNA from 1 species
GGCUGGCGGGCGCCGCGGGCGACCGGCUGUUCCCGCCGCCCGGCCGGUGGUUCGACCCCGCCGCCGACCC